GACGAACGCUGGCGGCGUGCUUAACACAUGCAAGUCGAACGAGAUCUUCGGGUCUAGUGGCGCACGGGUGCGUAACGCGUGGGAAUCUGCCCUUUGGUUCGGAAUAACAGUUGGAAACGACUGCUAAUACCGGAUGAUGACGAAAGUCCAAAGAUUUAUCGCCAGAGGAUGAGCCCGCGUAGGAUUAGCUAGUUGGUGUGGUAAAGGCGCACCAAGGCGACGAUCCUUAGCUGGUCUGAGAGGAUGAUCAGCCACACUGGGACUGAGACACGGCCCAGACUCCUACGGGAGGCAGCAGUGGGGAAUAUUGGACAAUGGGCGAAAGCCUGAUCCAGCAAUGCCGCGUGAGUGAUGAAGGCCUUAGGGUUGUAAAGCUCUUUUACCCGGGAUGAUAAUGACAGUACCGGGAGAAUAAGCUCCGGCUAACUCCGUGCCAGCAGCCGCCGUAA
rnacentral:rRNA from 1 species